AGCAGUGCGAUGUGUGCACACCUCCCAGCUUCAGUCACCCUGCUUGUCAGCACUGCUCGUCAUGCUGCAACCUGGCCUCUGCACAGCGCUGGGUUAGCAUGCUCAGCUGGCCAUGUUUCCAUGUUAUGGAGUACAGAAACUACUGCUUGAUAGAAAGAAAGAAAAUGGAUUUCUCUUUAUCGACUGGUAUACGGCUGACAGAAGUAAAG